rnacentral:snRNA from 1 species
ACAUGCCUUCCUUGCUUUCUUCCACCACAUAUAUACACUAAAAUUGGAAUGAUGCUGAGAAGAUUAGCAUGCCCCCCCCUCAAAAUAAUGACAUGCAAGUUUGUGAAGUGUUCCAUAGACAA